CUUAGUACCCGGAGGAAGAGAAAGAAAAUUCGAUUCCCUUAGUAGCGGCGAGCGAAACGGGAAGAGCCCAAACCAACAAGCUUGCUUGUUGGGGUUGUAGGACACUCUAUACGGAGUUACAAAGGACGACAUUAGACGAAUCAUCUGGAAAGAUGAAUCAAAGAAGGUAAUAAUCCUGUAGUCGAAAAUGUUGUCUCUCUUGAGUGGAUCCUGAGUACGACGGAGCACGUGAAAUUCCGUCGGAAUCUGGGAGGACCAUCUCCUAAGGCUAAAUACUCUCUAGUGACCGAUAGUGAACCAGUACCGUGAGGGAAAGGUGAAAAGCACCCCGGAAGGGGAGUGAAAUAGAACCUGAAACCGUGUGCUUACAAGUAGUCAGAGCCCGUUAAUGGGUGAUGGCGUGCCUUUUGUAGAAUGAACCGGCGAGUUACGAUUUGAUGCAAGGUUAAGCAGUAAAUGUGGAGCCGUAGCGAAAGCGAGUCUGAAUAGGGCGUUUAGUAUUUGGUCGUAGACCCGAAACCAGGUGAUCUACCCUUGGUCAGGUUGAAGUUCAGGUAACACUGAAUGGAGGACCGAACCGACUUACGUUGAAAAGUGAGCGGAUGAACUGAGGGUAGCGGAGAAAUUCCAAUCGAACCUGGAGAUAGCUGGUUCUCUCCGAAAUAGCUUUAGGGCUAGCCUCAAGUGAUGAUUAUUGGAGGUAGAGCACUGUUUGGA
rnacentral:rRNA from 1 species